rnacentral:rRNA from 1 species
UACGGGGGGGGCAAGCGUUGUUCGGAAUUACUGGGCGUAAAGGGCGCGUAGGCGGUUUGCUAAGUUGGAUGUGAAAACUCUGGGCUUAACCCAGAGCCUGCAUCCAAAACUGGCAAACUUGAGUACUGGAGGGGAAAGCGGAAUUCCUGGUGUAGCGGUGAAAUGCGUAGAUAUCAGGAGGAACACCGGUGGCGAAGGCGGGUCUCUGGGCCGAAACUGACGCUGAGGAGCGAAAGCGUGGGGAGCAAACAGG